rnacentral:rRNA from 1 species
UUGCCCUAGUAACGGCGAGUGAAGCGGCAACAGCUCAAAUUUGAAAUCUGGCGCAAGCCCGAGUUGUAAUUUGUAGAGGAUGCUUCUGGGUAGCGAUCGAUCUAAGUUCCUUGGAACAGGACGUCAUAGAGGGUGAGAAUCCCGUAUGUGACCGGCCCGCACCCUUUACGUAGCUCCUUCGACGAGUCGAGUUGUUUGGGAAUGCAGCUCUAAAUGGGAGGUAAAUUUCUUCUAAAGCUAAAUACCGGCCAGAGACCGAUAGCGCACAAGUAGAGUGAUCGAAAGAUGAAAAGUACUUUGGAAAGAGAGUUAAAAAGCACGUGAAAUUGUUGAAAGGGAAGCGCCUGCAACCAGACUUCGCGGCAGUGUUCCGCCGGUCUUCUGACCGGUUCAUUCUCUGUCGCGAGGCCAUCAUCGUCUGGGCCCGCCGGAUAAGACCUUGGGAAUGUAGCUCACCUUCGGGGGAGUGUUAUAGCCUAGGGUGAUGCGGCGAGGCUCGGGCGAGGUCCGCGCUUCGGCAAGGAUGAUGGCGUAAUGGUUGUCGGCGGCCCGUCUUGAAACACGGACCAAGGAGUCUAACAUCUAUGCGAGUGUUCGGGUGUCAAACCCCUACGCGUAAUGAAAGUGAACGGAGGUGGGAACCGCAAGGUGCACCAUCGACCGAUCCUGAUGUCCUCGGAUGGAUUUGAGUAAGAGCAUAGCUGUUGGGACCCGAAAGAUGGUGAACUAUGCCUGGAUAGGGUGAAGCCAGAGGAAACUCUGGUGGAGGCUCGCAGCGGUUCUGACGUGCAAAUCGAUCGUCAAAUUUGGGUAUAGGGGC